rnacentral:rRNA from 1 species
GAUGAACGCUAGCGGCAGGCUUAAUACAUGCAAGUCGUGGGGCAGCAUGAGUAGCAAUACUUGAUGGCGACCGGCAAACGGGUGCGGAACACGUACACAACCUUCCGAUCAGUGGGGAAUAGCCCAGAGAAAUUUGGAUUAAUACCCCGUAAGAUAUAGAGUAGGCAUCUUCUUUAUAUUAUAUCUUCGGCGCUUAUUGAUGGGUUUGCGUCGGAUUAGGUAGUUGGCGGGGUAACGGCCCAACAAGCCUACGAGCAGUAGCUGAAGUGAGAGCAUGAUCAGCCACACGGGCACUGAGACACGGACCCGACUCCUACGGGACGAAGCAGUAAGGAAUAUUGGACAAUGGGCGAAAGCCUGAUCCAGCCAUGCCGCGUGAAGGAUUAAGGUCCUCUGUAUUGUAAACUUCUUUUAUGUGGGACGAAAAAAGGGAAUUCUUUCCCACUUGACGGUACCAAGUGAAUAAGCACCGGCUAACUCCGUGCCAGCCGCCGCCGUAA